AUUGAACGCUGGCGGCGUGCUUAACACAUGCAAGUCGAACGCAGUGGCGAACGGGUGAGUAACGCGUAAUCAACCUGCCCUUCAGCGGGGGACAACAGUUGGAAACGACUGCUAAUACCGCAUACUGAAGGAGGGGAUUGCGUCUGAUUAGCUAGUUGGAGGGGUAACGGCCCACCAAGGCGAUGAUCAGUAGCCGGGCUGGGAGGAUGAGCGGCCACAUUGGGACUGAGAGACGGCCCAGACUCCUACGGGAGGCAGCAGUGGGGAAUCUUCCCCAAUGGAAGAAAGGCUGACGAGGCAACGCCGCGGGAGUGAUGACGGCCUUCGGGUUGUAAAGCUCUGUUAAUCGGGACGCGGUACCGGAAUAGAAAGCCACGGCUAACUACGUGCCAGCAGCCGCGGUAAUAC
rnacentral:rRNA from 1 species